GUUUACCUGUGUUCAGUUUCAUUGUCGCCCUGGACCUGACAGGAGAGGCCCAUGGAACUUGGGGCCACAGGCCACAAGGGACAAGGGCCAGACACCCCAGCCAUGGCUCCAGGCCAUUGAUCCAACCUAAGCUGGCCAGUUGGGGGUGGAAAGACCUUGGCCUGGAUAAACAGAGGCCUCCAGGCCUGUGUGCAGGCCCGGCACCUACCUUCCACUCUUGAAGAUGCCGAGAUGUUUCCAGCUCCCCUGUUCUACCAGGAUGCCCACCACCGAGGUCCCCCAAGCGGCUGAUGGUCAGGGCGAUGCGGGUGAUGGAGAGGAAGCUGCUGAGCCAGAGGGGAAGUUCAAGCCCCCAAAAAACACCAAGAGAAAAAACCGGGACUACGUCCGCUUCACGCCACUGUUGCUGGUCUUGGCUGCGCUGGUCUCAGCAGGGGUCAUGCUUUGGUAUUUCCUAGGGUACAAAGCGGAAGUGACCGUAAGCCAGGUGUACUCUGGCAGCCUCCGGGUGCUCAACCGUCAUUUCUCCCAGGACCUGGGCCGACGGGAGUCUAUUGCUUUCCGCAGUGAAUCUGCCAAAGCCCAGAAGAUGCUCCAAGAACUGGUUGCCAGCACCCGCCUGGGUACUUACUACAACUCUAGUUCUGUCUACUCCUUUGGGGAGGGACCCCUCACCUGCUUCUUCUGGUUUAUCCUUGACAUCCCUGAGUACCAGCGACUGACCCUGAGCCCUGAAGUAGUGCGCGAGCUCCUGGUGGAUGAGCUACUGUCCAACAGCUCAACCCUGGCUUCCUAUAAGACCGAAUAUGAGGUGGACCCGGAAGGCCUGGUGAUCCUGGAAGCCAGUGUGAACGACAUAGUCGUACUGAAUUCCACGCUGGGCUGUUAUCGCUACAGCUAUGUGAACCCAGGCCAGGUCCUCCCAUUGAAGGGGCCUGACCAGCAGACCACAAGCUGCCUGUGGCAUCUGCAAGGGCCCGAAGACCUCAUGAUCAAAGUGCGGCUGGAGUGGACCCGGGUCGAUUGCAGAGACAGGGUGGCGAUGUACGACGCAGCUGGGCCCCUGGAGAAGAGACUUAUCACCUCGGUCUAUGGGUGCAGCCGCCAGGAACCUGUGAUGGAGGUGCUGGCAUCGGGCUCCGUCAUGGCCGUGGUGUGGAAAAAGGGCAUGCAUAGCUACUAUGACCCUUUCCUGCUCUCAGUGAAGUCUGUGGCCUUCCAGGACUGCCAGGUGAACCUGACACUGGAGGGCCGGCUGGACACACAGGGCUUCCUCCGUACACCCUACUACCCCAGUUACUACUCUCCCAGUACCCACUGCUCCUGGCAUCUCACGGUACCCUCUCUGGACUACGGCUUGGCGCUCUGGUUCGAUGCCUACGCACUGAGGAGGCAGAAGUACAACCGACUGUGUACUCAGGGCCAGUGGAUGAUCCAGAACAGGAGGCUGUGUGGCUUCCGUACCCUGCAGCCAUAUGCUGAGAGGAUCCCCAUGGUGGCCUCAGAUGGUGUCACCAUCAACUUCACCUCCCAGAUCUCCCUCACAGGCCCGGGUGUGCAAGUGUACUACAGCUUGUACAACCAAUCAGACCCCUGCCCUGGUGAGUUCCUCUGCUCUGUGAAUGGACUGUGUGUCCCUGCGUGUGACGGGAUCAAGGACUGCCCCAAUGGCCUGGAUGAGAGAAACUGUGUCUGCAGAGCCAUGUUCCAGUGCCAAGAGGACAGCACGUGCAUUUCACUGCCUAGAGUCUGUGACCGGCAGCCCGACUGUCUCAAUGGCAGUGACGAAGAACAGUGCCAAGAAGGCUCCCUCGUUGCUCAGAGACCCACCUUCAGUGGCCUGCUCGGUCCCCUCCAUCCCAGGAGUGCCCUGUGGGACAUUCACUUUCCAGUGUGAGGACCGGAGCUGUGUGAAGAAGCCCAACCCAGAGUGUGACGGCCAGUCAGAUUGCAGAGACGGCUCAGAUGAGCAACACUGUGACUGUGGCCUCCAGGGCCUCUCCAGCCGUAUUGUGGGCGGGACCGUGUCCUCCGAGGGUGAGUGGCCAUGGCAGGCCAGCCUCCAGAUUCGGGGUCGACACAUCUGUGGGGGGGCUCUCAUCGCUGACCGCUGGGUCAUAACGGCCGCCCACUGCUUCCAGGAGGACAGCAUGGCCUCCCCGAAGCUGUGGACCGUGUUCCUGGGAAAGAUGCGGCAGAACUCGCGCUGGCCAGGCGAGGUGUCCUUCAAGGUGAGCCGUCUGUUCCUGCACCCGUACCACGAGGAGGACAGCCAUGACUACGACGUGGCCCUGCUGCAGCUCGACCACCCCGUGGUGUACUCGGCCACUGUGCGCCCCGUCUGCCUGCCUGCCCGCUCCCACUUCUUUGAGCCAGGCCAGCACUGCUGGAUCACAGGCUGGGGAGCCCAGCGAGAGGGUGGUCCGGUGAGCAACACCCUGCAGAAGGUGGACGUACAGCUGGUCCCUCAGGACCUCUGCAGUGAGGCCUACCGCUACCAGGUGUCCCCACGCAUGCUCUGUGCUGGCUACCGCAAGGGCAAGAAAGAUGCCUGCCAGGGUGACUCUGGAGGCCCACUGGUUUGCAGGGAGCCCAGUGGCCGCUGGUUCCUGGCAGGGUUGGUUAGCUGGGGCCUGGGCUGUGGCCGACCCAAUUUCUUUGGCGUCUACACCCGUGUCACACGUGUGAUCAACUGGAUCCAGCAGGUGCUGACCUGAGGGCUGUUCUACAGAGCUGGACCUGCCUCCAGGCCAAGUUCAGGGUGUCCACCCAGCCAGGACACAAGUAUUCUGGGGCAAGUGACCCUGCUAAGGCCUGUUUCCCUCAGGCCUACCCCAGUGACAGUACAGAGAAGGAUGUCAGCUGGUGGUUAGGAUGCCUCCUGAGGUCCAGGGGCCAGCCUCGGCUAGGUUUCACUUCUAACCCUUUCUUAUUCUAGUCCUUUCCCCUCCCUGCUCCUACCACUGUUUUGGAGUGGGGUCUGGCGGCCAUGACCUUGGCCUCCGGGUCUCUGUAGGAAAGAAAGAAUCCUUCCCCUUGCAAAAGCCUCUUGGGGGAACUGCACAGAGAAAGAAGGUGCCUCUAUCAAGGCUCUAUCAGAGCCCUUGAGUCUGCCAAGUGGGCUGUACUCUAAGCCAAAUCACCGGGCAGCCUCAGCUGCAGAUGCCUGCUGAAGCUCUGCCUGCUACAGGGGCCUCCCUGCCAUUCACUGGAGGCCCACUGUCUGUUCUGGGAAUAAAGCACUUGACCAAGCCCUGACA